UUUCCGGCGAGGGUUCGGUGUUUUCCGGCAAAGUUGUGUUCGACUCAGGUUUAGGCAGUCGGUGACCACCAUGUGUAGCCACCGUGUACGGCGGCGGCGGCGGCAGUUUUGGGAGUGGGUUUCCGGCUUUCUUAAUAUAUUGAAUUGGUAGGUGUGAUUACAGGUGCUUGAAUUCAAGUUUGGUUGAGUUUUGGAGAAAGUUGGGUUUUUGGCAGAAUGAUUGAUGUGUGGUGGCUGCUAUGUUCGACGACAGAAGGGGUGGCAGUAAUUGUAGUUAUGAUUCUGGGUUUGGGUUCCUGCAUUGAGCUUGUAUAUGUGAUUUGAAGUUCUGGAAUAUCUGAAAUUUGUAGGUGUUUGGUGAUGGGGGAUCAAGCUGUUCUUGUUUGGUUCUGUGUUACUGUAUUAGUGGUGGUGGUUACCAUGUUUUUGGAUUAAGUUCCACAACAAGGAAGCUACAAACUAGGAAAUUGAUGUUAUAUAUGAUUGAAGUACAUAAAGGGAGAAGUUAGGUGAUAUUUGGAUUUAUGUCGAGUAUUGUGUGAAAGUGGGAAGAGCAAAUUUGGUUGUUGUGAAAAUGAGAUUGAGAAGGAUGCAUAUGUUUAUGGAUUUUGAAAGACGAGAGGAGGAUAGUCCAAGUUGAAGUGUGUUGCUGGGGAGUGGGAAACAAUAAGGGAUUUCACUAUAAACUGUUAAUUUUGGUUAUGGAUAGGUUCGUUGAUAAAUUGUUGCUAUGCCUACAAUAAAGUAAUGAUAUGAAGGAGAUGGGAAUAUUGAUCAAGAUUGAGAUAGGCAAAUAUAAAGGAUUUGGUUUUAGUAUAUUUAACGGGUGUCCAUAGUAAAUCUAAGAUGGAAUGUUUAGUAAAUUUGGGUUCAAAGAGAAAGAAUGCAUGUUUGAUGAUUGGUAUAAAUUGAGUUUUAUAUUAUUCUAAUG